rnacentral:sRNA from 1 species
CAGUCAUUGAGUACACAGCGAUGAAUAUGCAUCGUUAAGGACGGUUACGUUACGCGUUUUGUCGUUUUUGCCUCCAAAUAAAUACAACUGAAAAAUAACAACAACAAAAAAGAGCAGAAGUAAAAAAGAAACACAAAUACAACAAAGAAAGAAAAAAAAUCAAAAAGAAAUGGAAAGAAUUAAGGCAACAACAAUAAACGGUGUAUAGUUGUUGUAGUACGAUAGCCAUCAUUGUACAUACAUACAAAUACAGCAGCAACAAUAACAACAAUAGGAGCAGCAGAAACAGCAGCACCUCCGCCAUCACCAUCAACAUAACCACCAACAACAAUAGCAGCAGCAAAGUGAAAAAAACAACAACAAAAGAAAUAAAAUAAAACAAAAUAAAAAAUGUAUAAUUAAAACAAUUUCUCGAAUGCACAGAGCAACAUAGUAAAAAAGCAAAAAAAAAAAUAAGAAAAACAAAAUUUAUCAUCACACACGACGACACACCAUUAAAUAAAAAAAAAAUAUUUGAAAAUAUUCAAAAUAGAGAGAAAUAUAAACAAGUUACCUAUAGUGAAAAAUUAAGAAAAAAGAGAAAAAUAAAAAUUUUUAAAAAAUUUUGAAUUUAUGGCAAAACAAAAUUUUUGAAAAUUAAUUCACACAGAGAGGAAGAGAGCAUUAGAAAAAAUAUAUGUGUAUAUAUAUCGAAAAGAGUGUGUGUUGGAAAAUAUUUGCAAAAAUUGAUGUUUGAGAAAUUUAAAGGAAAUUUUCAACAAAAAAAAGUGCAUCCGAAAAUAGUUGUUAAAAAAGUGCAAAGAUCUCUAAGGAAAAUCUCACAAAUGUAAAAAGAAAAAAUUGAAGAAAUUAUUCGGAAAGUGUGUAUUUGGAAAAUUAAAGAAGAAAAGAAAAUAAUAUUAAUAAUAAUAAUAUAUUCCUAAAAGUCCCAUUGUAAUUGUUUUAGAAUCGUUGCUGUUCUUCAUCAAUUUCUUCAGAAGCUCGUCAUUUUGGCAAACAGGAUUAAGGUGACCACUUCCUAAACCCUUUUUACAGAACGCGGUCGCGAAGCGUAAACGUAACGUGGUAUCGUAGAACGUUAUACAGAUACGGUCGAUAUUGGAAAGAGUCGAAAAACGAUCUCUCGGUCGGUCUGCCUAUUCGUUGCUGUCGGUUAAGCUUCUAUUGAGGCGACACAACACCGCGUCACAACAAAGUCAAAUAUUUUAAAGCGUAUGCGAAUUUGGCGCGUUUAAUUGUCGUUGUGAAAUGUUAGCAAAAGUAAUAUAAUAGAAAUAAAAAUGUGUUUUCUUGCAAAUAAUUCAAAAGGUGUAGCAAAACACAAAGCAAAGUGAAUAAAAUUAAGAAAAAAAGGAAAUAUCUCUCCAUAUGGCAAGAAA